rfam:Caenorhabditis brenneri strain PB2801 C_brenneri-6.0.1_Cont349.8, whole genome shotgun sequence.
CCAACGGCCCUCUUUAGGGCCACAAAUCUCAAUAAUCCUUAUAUUU